rnacentral:rRNA from 1 species
UACAUGUGGGGCAAGCGUUGUUCGGAAUUACUGGGCAUAAAGGGUGCGUAGGCGGCUUGUUAAGUCACUGGUGAAAGUUUUCGGCCCAACCGGAAAAUUGCCUGUGAUACUGGCGAGCUUGAGUGCGUGAGGGGUGGGGGGAACGAGCAGUGUAGCGGUGAAAUGCGUAGAUAUCGUUUGGAACGCCAAUGGUGAAAACAGGUAACUGGGGAUGUGCCGACGCUGAGACACGAAAGCCAGGGGAGCGAACGGG